rnacentral:rRNA from 1 species
AUUGAACGCUGGCGGCAUGCUUUACACAUGCAAGUCGAACGGCAGCACGGGAGCUUGCUCCUGGUGGCGAGUGGCGAACGGGUGAGUAAUGCAUCGGAACGUACCCAGUAGUGGGGGAUAGCCCGGCGAAAGCCGGAUUAAUACCGCAUAUUUCCUGAGGGAGAAAGCGGGGGACCUUCGGGCCUCGCGCUACUGGAGCGGCUGAUGUCGGAUUAGCUAGUUGGUGAGGUAAAGGCUCACCAAGGCGACGAUCCGUAGCUGGUCUGAGAGGAUGAUCAGCCACACUGGGACUGAGACACGGCCCAGACUCCUACGGGAGGCAGCAGUGGGGAAUUUUGGACAAUGGGGGCAACCCUGAUCCAGCCAUGCCGCGUGAGUGAAGAAGGCCUUCGGUUGUAAGACUCUUUCAGGUAGGAAGAAAGUACACUA